ACAACAUCUAGCAAGGGAAUGUUGAUCUCCACCUUUUUGAAAGUAUUCAAGAUCUCUUGGUCUAACUCCUCCAUUUUUUUGUUUCUCAGCUUCAACCGAUUGGGAUAUGGAGGAGGUGGAGAAUAAGAUGAAGAAGAAUUUUUAGAAGAAGAGUUAGGAGGUACUAACCUAGAUUUUUCAGUGGUAGUCUCAGGUGAUGGUUCAUUUGGUCCUCCAUUGUCAUCAACUUGUUCNUCUUCUUUCUUCUUAUCUUCAUCCUCUUGGACUCCUUCAGGGCCUUGUACUUGCUUACCCGUUCUUAAAGUAAUAGCACUUACAUUUUGUGGGUUGAUCACUGUUUGUGCAGGCAGCUUAUUUGACUCCUUAGCCUCUAACUUUU
rnacentral:lncRNA from 1 species